GGGCCCGCACAAGCGGUGGAGUAUGUGGUUUAAUUCGAUGCAACGCGAAGAAGCCUUACCAGGGUUUGACAUCCUGCGAAAUCUCCGUGGAAACAGGGGAGUGCCUUCGGGAACGCAGUGACAGGUGGUGCAUGGCUGUCGUCAGCUCGUGUCGUGAGAUGUUGGGUUAAGUCCCGCAACGAGCGCAACCCACGUCUUUAGUUGCCAGCAUUUAGUUGGGCACUCUAGAGAGACUGCCGGUGAUAAACCGGAGAAGGUGUGGAUGACGUCAAGUCAUCAUGCCCCUUACAUCUGGGCUACACACGUACUACAAUGCUACGGACAAAGGGCAGCAAGUUCGCGAGGACAAGCAAAUCCCAUAAACGUGGCUC
rnacentral:rRNA from 1 species